UUCAUCUCCUUCUCCUGACUUCUGCCCUUUGUAAUUCGUCCAAACCCAGGAGCAGAGCCUUCCGAAAAAUACAGCUGCCACCAACCCCCGCUCCAAGGGGAUUCCCUGCAAAUUCCAGGAAGGAGACAGACUUCCCAUUCCCAUCAACAUCAAGGAAAACCCAACAGAACCUGGUCAAGUUCUCGGUGAUGUCUCCUGCCUCUGCGGUAGCAGCUGUCCCCAGGCUUCAUGCGAACAGGCUCAGCGUGACCAGCGGGGACAAACCACACGUGGUCCAAAGCUGGGCCCUGACUGCCUGUGGGAGUGUCAAGACACGAAGCUCAUCCUUAGCAUCACUUUAAGAAAAAAAAAUAGACAGAUAGACAACAUUUUUUCAGAUCCGAGCGGGCACGUGGGGCCAGCCAGUUAAAAGGAAAAAGAAAACAGAACAACAAUGAAGAAAGAAGAAUUUGAUCUUGCUAGCAGUCAGUUACAAACACCUGAAUGGAUGAAUAUUGACGCUCCAGCCGUACUGAAUCGGCUUUAGGUGGGUGUUCCAGAAUCCUUUCUGUUACUUCACUCUCCCUCCUUUUUCCCUUCUCUCUCUGCACUGCCCAAGGUCCGGGCUCUGCUCCUGGGGUCCCAAAUGGACAUGGUUGGAUUCAUCAAGCCUCUUUCAAGACCCUGUUUCUACCUUUGUAUUUGUAUAUAGGAUUUCUACUCCCUCAAAAAGCCUCGCCCCGCCAAACUGACUAAGCUCUGGGCCCUACAAAACAUGGAUGCUCUCUGGGGAGCUGAUAGGCAGCCCCGGCCCCAACCUGAGGACCUGCGGGGGCUCCCUGCCGUCUUAAGUUUUUCACAUUCUUCCUGGGGGAGCAUCUACACAGCAGGCCCCCCUCGUGCCGACAACAAUGGCCUCUCCACUUCAUGACUUGAGUUUUUUAUGCUAAAAUGCUCCCUCCCUUCCAGGAGGCAGACCCCCGAGAAAAUAAGUGACUUAAAGGAAAGUGUCUAUCUCUUGGGUUAGGCAUUUUUGCUUUCACUUAUGGAUGAGAAAGAGGAUGCUCAAAGCACUGAAUGAGUCAUUUAUGUAAGAUCACGGAGCUGGUUAGAAACCCAGUCAGAAUUUGAACCCAGGUCCUCAACUCCUAAACUGCUGUUUCUUAUUCUAUUCCAUAUUUCUAAUCCAGCAGAGGCAUUCAUUUGAAGAAAGAAAGAAAUUCGGUUUUUCUGAUCAGAGCUAGUUAAGAAGCACAUGGGUCUUUUUGAGUAACUGAGACCCCAUGUUUCCAGCAUUUUCAGUAAAGACAUAACUUUUGAGGCUGUGUUCUCUCCUUUCAUUUUGUUUACACUAAUGGGUGUUUCCGUAGGAAUGGCAUUCCUACGUUUCAGAUUCUAACGUGCUUACUCCACUUAACGAUGUUUGGCUUAAUUAUUAAGAGCGCUGUGAGGCCUGAGGCCAGAGCAGUCCCAACGUGGCUACAUCCCGUGCGUGUGGAUAUCUGUGCUUGUGGCAGGACGGAGAGGCCAGGGAGGCCUAGAGGCAGGGGGCUGAGAGGCAGGACCUCCUUGUCCCCCGCCUGUGACCUGGUGGGCUUCCAGGUGAGGAUCCAAUGGGAUGUGUAGUGCAGAGGUGACAAGGAAGGGACACUAUUAGUUUGGUAGGGUUGCUGUAACAGAGUACUACAAACAAAUGACUUAAACAACAGAAAUUUACUCUCUCACAGUUCUGGACAUUAGAAUUCUGACGCUGAGGUGUCGGGAUGGCCAAGCUCCCUCUGAAGGCCCUGGGGAAGAAUCGGUCCCAUGCCUCUCUGUUAGCUUCAAGUAGCUCCUUGGAUUGUGACAGCAUAGCUCCAAUCUUCACAUGAUGUUCUCUGGUGUGUGUGUGU